UACGUAGGGUGCAAGCGUUGUCCGGAAUUAUUGGGCGUAAAGAGCUCGUAGGCGGUCUGUCGCGUCUGCUGUGAAAACUCGGGGCUUAACCCCGGGCCUGCAGUGGGUACGGGCAGACUAGAGUGCGGUAGGGGAGACUGGAAUUCCUGGUGUAGCGGUGAAAUGCGCAGAUAUCAGGAGGAACACCGGUGGCGAAGGCGGGUCUCUGGGCCAAUACUGACGCUGUGGCGCGAAAGCGUGGGUAGCAAACAGG
rnacentral:rRNA from 1 species